CUUUAAAUAUCCCAGAAUUCCUUGCACCGGUCACACGUGCUCAUUGCUUCUAGCACAAAGUCAGAUCAUCAGUGCACGAUCGGUUGGAGAUGAGCGGAUGCAGUAUGCGCGUUUAUUGUCCAUCUGAACCCCCUGACUGAACAGAAACUUGCCAUUUUUCUAUGAUGUCUUAAUUAAGAAGAUUCUCAUAUUGUAUUGGUCCUGAAGAAUCCUUUUCUAAACAUUACUUGCCAAAGGCAGAGAAUGUAAGAGCUACAGUCAUUGGCCACAGGCAGAAAAUGUAAGAACUACAGUCAUCAGCCAAAGACCAAGAAUGUAAGAACUACAGUCAUUAGCCAAAGGCAGAGAAUGUAAGAACUACAGUCAUUAGAUUUCAAUGAUGGCUUCAUUUUGAGGCACAUGUUUUCGGUGACUGGUGGCUUGUUCCUCCGCAGUGCAACUCGAGUAGAACUAAAUUUAUUGCCAUGUUUGAAGAACAUCUGAAAUGAGUGGUGGCUUUUCUAUUGUAAACCAUGUGUUUAUGUAUUUCCAAUAAAUAAAGGUGCUUGUUUGUA